GCUUAAAGCAAAGAUUUUUCUGUUCAGUUCCUCCCAAACUGCAGGAGAAAAGAAGAAAGCGGAGCACAUCAUUAUAGCAAUUUUCCAUGUGUUUUGGUUAGAAAUGAACAACAAAAUGUUGUGCAAUAAAACCCUUGGAAGAUGGAAAAUAUGCAAGACUUUGGGAAAGAGUUACAAUUUUCUGGCUUUGAAGAGAUAAAGACCAACACUGAAGAUUUGGUAUGUAUCCAGCAGUGAUAGAGAAGAAUCAGUAUUGUAAUACCAUGGGUUCUUUUAACACUGAACAGAAAUAAAUCUGUACGUUUUGAAUGAAUCAUCUCAGUAU